rnacentral:rRNA from 1 species
GACGAACGCUGGCGGCGUGCCUAACACAUGCAAGUCGAACGGAGUAAUUUCUUCGGAGGUUACUUAGUGGCGAACGGGUGAGUAACGCGUGAGAAACCUGCCUUUCAGUGGGGGACAACAGUUGGAAACGACUGCUAAUACCGCAUAAUGUUAUUUGGGGGCAUCCCCGAAUAACCAAAGCUUUAUGUGCUGAAAGAUGGUCUCGCGUCUGAUUAGCUAGAUGGCGGGGUAACGGCCCACCAUGGCGACGAUCAGUAGCCGGUCUGAGAGGAUGAACGGCCACAUUGGGACUGAGAUACGGCCCAGACUCCUACGGGAGGCAGCAGUGGGGAAUAUUGGACAAUGGGGGAAACCCUGAUCCAGCGACGCCGCGUGAGUGAAGAAGUAUUUCGGUAUGUAAAGCUCUAUCAGCAGGGAAGAUAAUGACGGUACCUGACUAAGAAGCACCGGCUAAAUACGUG